rnacentral:lncRNA from 1 species
GCAUUAUCCCAAUUGGUUACCCAAUCUCGGAUUAGGCUGAGCAUAGGUCACAAUAUUUUUUGCACUAAUUAAAAUUUUAUGAUGGUCAAAUUCCCCGGGCAGCAAAUUAGUGAGUGGUAGGAAUAGAGGAAGUGGGCUGUGAAGGAGACGGUGAUGGGAAAAAUCCUUGCUUUGGUUGUUUAGGUCUCGUUGACCGGGAUAGCUAUAAUUGGGCCUACUGUAAUCUGUCCUUGUUAAGCCGCAGCAUUAUUUAGUUGAAAUUCACUCAUCAAGUAGGGCCUCUUCUUUGGAGUCAUGCUUUAAAUAAGCACCAGUCGUGGGUCUGCUGUCAGCCAUGCACUAGUUAUUUUUUUUUUUUUGUUCAAAAUGGUAUUCCAUUUCAUAUACCUCUAACGUGAGUACAGUCAGACAUAUCAAAAGAAAGUAAACAAAAUAAAAAGUGUGGGAUGCAAUCUAAGCUAGUCUAGAGAACCUCCCUAGUGUACCGGGUAAUAUAGGAAGCAACCCAGUCUGCUGCACUGUUAUUUUCAGUUAACUUUCUUAAUAAAAAACAUCAUAUUUCAUGAGAUGUUAUUUG